rnacentral:rRNA from 1 species
AACGUAGGAGACAAACGUUAUCCGGAGUUACUGGGCGUAAAGGGCGUGUAGGUGGUUUCGUAAGUCUGGCGUGAAAUUUCUCGGCUUAACCGAGGCAGGUCGUCGGAUACUGCGGAACUUGAGGACGGUAGAGGCGUGUGGAAUUCCGGGUGUAGUGGUGAAAUGCGUAGAGAUCCGGAGGAACACCAGUGGCGAAGCGACACGCUGGCCGUACCUGACACUGAUGCGCGACAGCAUGGGGAGC